AGACGUCUUCAUUAGAUACCCCCCGUAGUCCCAGCCGUAAACUAUGCGCGUUAGGUGUAUCGGUGACCACGAGUCACCGAGGUGCCGAAGGGAAACCGUGAAACGUGCCGCCUGGGAAGUACGGUCGCAAGGCUGAAACUUAAAGGAAUUGGCGGGGAGCACCACAACGGGUGGAGCCUGCGGUUUAAUUGGACUCAACGCCGGGAAGCUCACCGGAUAAGACAGCGGAAUGAUUGCCGGGCUGAAGACUCUGCAUGACUAGCUG
rnacentral:rRNA from 1 species